GAAGAUCUUGGCAAGAUCUUGGAAGAUCGAUCUUGCAUGAUCUUGGAAGAUCAUGGCAAGGUCUUGGCAAGACACUAAUCUUGGCAAGAUCUUGCCAAGAUAUUACCCAUAUCUUGCCAAGAUUAUUCAAUCUUGCCAUACUUGCCAAAAUCUUGCCAAGAUUGUCCGAAAUACUUGUCAAGAUCUUGCCAAGAUCUUUC